rnacentral:rRNA from 1 species
UACGUAGGGGGCAAGCGUUGUCCGGAAUUAUUGGGCGUAAAGGGCGCGUAGGCGGCUCGGCACGUCCGUUGUGAAAUCGCCCGGCUCAACUGGGCGGGGUCAGCGGAUACGGCCGAGCUGGAGCAAGCUAGGGGGUAAUGGAAUUCCCGGUGUAGUGGUGGAAUGCGUAGAUAUCGGGAGGAACACCAGUGGCGAAGGCGGUUACCUGGAGCUUUGCUGACGCUGAUGCGCGAAAGCGUGGGGAGCGAUCCGG